GCUUUAUUACUAGCAUUUAGCUAAAAAUCCAUACUUCAUAUCUUGAUACACAAAAAUAUAAUCGAUAUUAGAUUUUUUAAUAUAAUCGAUAUUAGAUUUUUUAAAUCCCGUUUUUCUUCAAUUACUUAUACAGCAGUUUGGAAAUGCUGUUGCUUAUCCCUAGAGUUUCUGCUUAAAACUGUUUUACUUUCCAAAUUCAGGUAACUGCAGGUGUUUCUCAUGCAGGUGUUUGCCUAUGGAUAAUUACUGCCAAUCAAUGUAAGGCACAGCAGUUCUUCUAGCAACAAAAAGUAACCCAAAGGGUUUUUUUCAGGAAAAUGAAAUGAUAGGAUAUCCACACUAAAAAUGCAAAUUAAAUACCAAGCUUUCAAAUUGGAAACAAGGGAUGCCAGGAGAUUCCCUUGUGUGUACAAAUCAAAUAUACUGGUUUGGGAAAAGUUGAGCAAAAAGUAAUAACUGCUGAAGUAAUAGUAUGGGGAUCUAUGAGAAGAAUGCUUUUUGAUAAAGAUGAGGAGAAAAUAAAAUACCAUGGGACUAUUUUAAACAAUGCACCAUUUGGUCACACGUGCCUACUUACUGUGAAAAAGCUGAAAUGCUGGCCUACCUUUCUUUCUAUAUUUUUAAAUAAAAAAUGGUAGCAUUCCUUUUAUUUUUUAAAUACAAAAGCUCACAUCAGGGUAAUGUAUGCAUUUUAGUCAUGGCGCUACCUCAAUAUUCACUGAAACUUUGUUUAAUGGGGUAGAAAUUGUGUUACUAGGAUUGGGGAAGGGGAAGAAAAGAUAGACUGCAUAGAGACAUAAAAUAUUUGGGAAAAUACCUAUACAUUGUGGUGAGCAUUUGGAAUUAAUAGGUUAAUUCUCUAAUAUUUAGGUGAUCUUUAUGAAUAAUUUUCCAGGAAGUAACUUCCAAGACGAUGCCCUCUACCACAUCACAUUUCCAGAUUACAGUGAUCAUCUACCUGUUGCAGAGACACGAAAUUAUAUCUGGUAGAACACAAACGGAAAAGCCUUUGCAAGACAUGUUAGUUAAAUUCUCAUUUGAAGAAAAAAGCUUAUAUUUCUCGGCAUACAUACUACUGAGCUGGUGUUAAGUGAACAAAAUUGAGAUCUCAUGUCCUGGCAAUAAACCAACUCUUGUUAGCUAAGGAUGUGCUGCUUAGUCUUUGCAUUUCAAUGUCUGUUAAAAAGUGACCAUGUGGGCCGGGCGUGGUGCUCACGCCUGUAAUCCCAGCACUUUGGGAGGCCAAGGCGGGCAGAUCACGAGGUCAGGAGAUGGAGACCAUCCUGGCUAACACGGCGAAACUCCGUCUCUACUAAAAAUACAAAAAUCAUCCUGGCGUGGUGGUGGGCGCCUGUAGUCCCAGCUACUCGGGAGGCUGAGGCAGGAGAAUGGCGUGAACCCGAGAGGUGGAGCUUGCAGUGAGCUGAGACUGCGCCACUGCACUCCAGCCUGGGCAACAGAGCGAGACUCUGUCUCAAAAAAUAUAUAAAAAUAAAAAAGUGACCACGUGGCCAGUCAUGGUGGCUUGUGCUUGUAAUUCAAUGGCUCGUGCUUGUAAUCCAAGCACCACUAGACAGAUAGGUUGCUUUAGCUCAGGACUUAGAGGCCAGCCUGGGCAACUGUGAAACUCUGUCUCUACAAAAAUUAUACAAAAGCCAAGAAUGAGAGAAAAGACUUAAUAUUUAAUAGUGAUUAUUAGAUGUAAAAUUAUUUUACCUCAUUUAAUAUAUAUUAAAUCACUUGCAAACAUAGUAAACAUAUAUUUAAAUGGUUUAUUUAAUGUUCGACUUCAUCAAACCUAAAUAUUUUUAUUAUUUUUGAGUUUAGAUGUAAAUAAGUAUUUUGGCAAUCAUUGAGACCAUGAAGUGCAAUGCAGCAGGCAAUGGGUAAAUUAGUUCAAAUCUACUUAUGGAUUUAUUUCCAAACCUUUGAUCUGCUCUCCUGCGGAAAUUUUUUUCUAUUCAAAAGACUCUAGAUUGAAUCCAUGAAUAAGAAUUCUUAUCUUUUAAAACUUCACAUAAUUUUAUUUAGAAAAGUUAUAUAUGUAUAUAUGUGUAUAUAUAUAUGUGUGUAUGUAUGUAUGUAAAUGCUGAAUAUUUACAGAUUGUUGGGUCCAAUUUGUUAGCAGUCCAUCUAAAACUAUCAUUCUAUUCUUUGGGAUUAGAAUUUGAAAAUCAUUUCUUCAGCAGUGAUUUACACUUGUUAUUUACUUCCCUUCGGAUGCCAGAGUGAAAAAUAAAACACACAGACAAAAAUACAGGCACACCUAUUUUGGGCACCAAGCUAUGUGAGAGUAGAUUAAUGGUUAGAAAUUUACAAGAAAAAAGGAAAACCCAAAAACCAAAAGACAGCAACAAACAAUACUCCUGUUCAGUGCAAAGGCCAAAACAGGUGUUUGUCCACAUUUUGUAAUUGAAAAUAGCAUUCUAUUGUCUAGUGUUGCCAGUGAUCCAUAUUUAUAGUUACUUUUUUUAGGUGUCUAGUCUAAUUUGAAUGUUGAAAAUAUAUAUUCUUUUAAUUUCAAUAUAAGUUAAAUUUACAGAAAAGUUGCAAAAGUAGCACAGAGUUUCUAUAUACCCUUCUUCAGUUUUACUUAUUGCUCAUUGUUAAAAACUUACAUUAUUAUAUGCCUUUGUUAAAAUAAUUAAACUGAUAUCCUACAUUACUGUUAAAUAAAAUUCAGACAUUAUGUGGAUUUCAUUAGUUUUUCCAUCGAGGUCUUCUUUCUAUUCCAGCAUUCUAUCCAGGCAACCAUACUAUAUUUUGCUACCAUUUUUUUUUUUUCUAGUCUUAACUGGUCUAUAACGGUUUCUCAUUCUUUUCUUUUUUUUUUAUCAUAACCUUGGUAGGCUGGUAGUCAUGGAAAGUACUGGUCAGGUAUUCUGUGGAAUGAUUGCUCAUCUCGUGACUAGAUUGCACUUAUACAAAAUAAGUGAAGUGAUCUUCUUGUCACAUCAUAUCAGGAGACACAUGAUGUUAUUGGUGACAUUAACUGUUAUCAUUCAGUGACGGUAGUGUUUUCCACUUUUGUCUUCUGUAAAUUUACUUUGUUUUCUUUCCCUAUUCUAUUUUUGGAAAGAAAAUCACUAAAACUAACUCAUUGUCAAGGGCAUGGGGGACAAGAUUUAAGCUCCAUCUCCCCAUGUCAUUUGGAAUUCUUCUGGAAAAAAGGUUUGUUUCAUGUUCUUUACUUAAUUGACUUAUUCAAUUAUUUAUUUAUAGUGUUAUUGACUCAUAUGUAUGUGUUUUAUACCUUUCAUUACAAUUCAAUACUAUUUUGUUGAUCAAACUGUUCUAGCUUUGGCUUGGUUUCUAUGUCCUUUUGGUAUGCCUGUCUGCCUGCUUGCCUGCCUGCCUGCCUGCCUGCCUGCCUUCCUUCGUUCCUUCCUUCCUUCCUUUCCUCCUUCCUCUGUAUUACUUCCUGGUGCUUCAAGAUAUUCCAGGCCCACUUGUCUGUUUCCUUAACCUAGUCAUUGAAUCAGGCAUUGGUCCAAAAACUCUUAUUAAAGAAUAGUCUUUUAUUAAACAAUAGUGUUUAGAAACCAAGAUCUGCAUGAUAGGUAUGUUCGUUGCUCCUAGGGUUUUAUUAUUUUGGGCACUCUCAGUGGAGAAAACUAGGAAAUAUGUGUGCAUACUAACCCACAUGUACCAGUAGUUUCUGUUUUUAUAUUGUCAUGUUUAUAUAUUGUAACGGUUAAUUUUAUGUGGCAACUUGAGUGGGCCACAGAGUGCAAGAUUAAACGCUCUUUUUGUCAGGGUAUUUCCAGAUGAAAUUAGCAUUUAAAUCAGUGGAACUCAGUAAAGCAGAUUGCCCUCUUCAAUGGUUGAGCAUCAUCCAAUCCAUUGAGGGCCUGACCAGAACAAAUGGCAAAGCAAGGUGAAAUUUGUACUUUUUUUUCUUUUUCCUGCCUUACUGCAGGGAUACCUCAUCUCAUUUUCUUGUGCAUUCAGACUGUGAUUUACAUCAUUGAUUUUCCUGGUUGAGGUCUUUGGACUAGGACUGAAUUACACCAGUGGCUUUUCUGAAUCUCCAGCUUGCAGAUUGCAGAUCAUGAGAAUUCUCAGCCUCCAUAAUUGCGUGAGCCAAUUCUCAUGAUCAGUCUCUUCUUAUGUGGAUAUCCUAUUGGUUUUGUUCCUCUUGAGAAACCUGACUAAUACAUAUAUAUUAUGUUAGACAUGUUAUUUGAUUGUGUCUAACUCUAAUUCAGUACUAGGUGAUUCAUUCUAGCCUUCCUUUAUUAUAACAGCCUUCUCUGACAAUAAGAAACCUGAAUCUUAUCCUCUGACUUUUAAGUUGUUAAUUUGCUUUUACACACACAUAUAUGUAAAGCAGGUUCAGAAUAGUUAACCUGCACUACUGUGAGGAAAAAAUAUUACCAACUGGAGUACAGUGUCAACAUACAAUUUUUUUGGUCUGUAAAUAUUGGACAAAAUAUAAGUGAAAAUUAUGUUUUGUUUAUCCUGCUCUACACUUGAAGCAAGUGUGCUUACUUUUAAUGUGAGGCUUUAGUUUAUUCUUUGGUGCUGCAAAUUUUUUAUUGCUAACUCAUCUAAUAUUGCUUCCCUAGUAUGCUCACAUUUUCCUUUCACUCAAACUCUCAUUAGAUGUAGGCAAUAAACUCACAAUAUAUUCUCCAUUAGUCUUUGAUUUCAUUUUUAAUACUAUUUAUCUGUGUAGGAGGUUCUUGGAUAAUUAUUCAACAUAUGUUUAAUCUCACUCAUUUUAUUUUUUUCUGCAGGUUUAUCCAAUAUCGAAAACUUUUCAUGUUCAAAAUUUAUGAUGGAUAUUUUUCCAUAAAGAUAUUUUAUUUGAGUGAAAUUGUUCAAUGCCACUACUCUUUAUAUUUGUUUCAUUCCUAUUAUAAUUUCUGUAACUUUGCUUUUCUUUACAUUUUACAACUGAUUUAUAGUAAUAUUGUUUUGCUUUGUUUUUCAUCUUAUCAUACUCUGGCUUUCGGUAAAUUUUCAGCUGCUAGCAACUUUUUACCAGAGCUCUUAUAAUAUUAUGGUUUUAAUUUUGUUUUCAUUUUAAAGAAUCUAUUGAAAAAAGAGAGAUAUCAGUAAACUAUAUUUAUCUAAUACAUUUAACAUUUUAUACUUCUGAACAUACGUAUUCAUAACAGAUAUCACAGACACAAAUACCUACAAAAUCAGCCAACUUAACAAAAUCAGUGAAAGAUGCUUAUUGUGGACUAUGGCAUCUAAAAACAGGUCUUUCCAUAUCAUUUCCAGGGUCUAGGUCAAGAUUACAAGUUGAAUUCCACAAAACAUAUGUUUGUUUGAUUAUUUACAAUUGUAAAAUAAAUUAAAAAUGAAAAUAAUUUAAGGCUUUAAAAUUUAAGAAAUACAUUGUAUUUUUUCUACUUUGCAAAUAAACCUUUAUAAAAACUCAGAAAGUCUUAGAUGUAUUAAGCUUUUGGGGUUUCAGAUUUUACCUGAUCGUGUAAUCGAUGAGGCUAAGUAUUGGAAACUAGCAUUCAACCUGCUUCUUAAGCUCUUUUCUCUUUCAACAAUGAUUAUUUUUUUACCUACACAUUUACGAACCUUCUGGGUCCACUUAUGAACCUUCUGGGUCCACUUACCUUACACACUGGUCCAUGUACACACUAGCUGACUCUAUUCUUGGGUCAAGGGAUGCUCACAUUGGUGGUAUAGUGCAUUCUCAGGAACAUGAAAAAUAGGCUUGGGAUAAUUUGUGCAUGGAAAUAUGAGGUUCUGACUUUUCUGUGAGGUCUACAAGAAAGAAGUAUGGAAUCUAGGAGAACACGCUUGUCUCCUAGACAUCUAGGAGAACCCAGAUGUCUCUGAAGUUUCUCACCUUGCUUGUAGAGAUAUGACUGUAUGAAAGAAAGCCAAGUCAGAGGAGAAGAGGUACCUUAAAAAUAAGAUCCAUGAACAACAAACUAUUUGAAAAGGAAAUUAAGGCAACAAUUCAUUUAAAAGACUAUUAAAAAUAUUUAAGAGUAAAUUUAACCAUGGAACUGAAAAAUUUGUAUAUUAACAACUAUAAAACACUGACGAAAGACAUGGUAGAAGAUACAAAUAAAUGGAAAGCUAUCCCAUGCUCAUUGAUUAGAAUAAUUAAUAUUGUUAAAAUGUCCAUAAUACCCAAAGUAAUCUACAGAUUCAAUACAGUCAAUAUGAUAUAGUUUGGAUCUGUGUCCCCACUAAAUCUCAUGUUGAAUUAUAAUCCCUAGUGUUGAAGAUGGGGCCUGGUGGGAGGCUAUUGUAUAAUGAGGACAGAGUUCUCAUGAAUGGCUUUGCACCUUCCCCUUCUUGCUGUUCUUGUGAUGUGAGUGAGUGAGUUAUUGUGAGAUCUGGUUGUUUAAAAGUGUGUGGCACUCUCCACACUCUCCCACCAUGUGAGAUGCCUCACUUCCGCUUUGCUUUCCACCAUGAUUGUAAGUUUCUUGAGGCCUCCCCAGAAGCUGAGCAGACACCAGCAUUAUGCUUCCUGUACAGCCUGCAGAUCCAUGAGCCAAUUACAUGUCUUUUCUUUAUAAAUUAUCCAGUAUCAGGUAUUUCUUUAUAGCAGUGCAAGAAUGGACUAAUAUACCAUAUUCGAAUUCUAAUGUCAUUCUUCACAGAAAAUAGAAAAAAAAUCUAAAAUUUGUAUGGAUCCAAAAAAGACCUCAAAAAGCCAAAGCCAUCUUGAGCAAAAAGAACAAAAUGGAAACAUCAUGCUACCAGAUUUCAAAAUACCUUACAAAGCAUUAGUAUUCAAAACAGCACGGUCCUGGCAUACAGACAGAUACAUUGACCAACGGAGUACGAUAAGAAGCCUAGAAAUAAACCCUUCCAUUUAUGGUCAAUUGAUUUUUAACAAGGGUGCUAAGAACAUCCAAUGAGAAAAGGUGAGUCUGUUCAAUAAAUGGUCUUUUGAAAACUGGAUAUCCACAUGUUGAAGAAUGAAAAUGUAAGGAAGACCCUUAUAUAAGAGAGAAAGUGUAGAGAAGACCCUUACAUAAGAGUCAAGGCCAGGCACGGUGGCUCACGCCCGUAAUCCUAGCACUUUGGGAGGCUGAGGGGGAUGGAUCACUUGAGGUCAGGAGUUCAAGACCAGCCUGGCCAACAUGGUGAAACCCUGUCUCUACCAAAAAUACAAAAAUUAGCUGGGCGUGGAGACAUGUACCUGUAAUCCCAGCCACUUGGGAGGCUGAGGCAGGAGAAUUGCUUGAACCCGGGGGGCAGAGGUUGCAGUGAACUGAGAUUGUGCCACUUCACUCCAGCCUGGGCAAAAGAGCAAGACUCCGUCUCAAAAAAUAAAUAAAUAAAUAACCCAAAAGGACUUAAAAACUUAAAUUAAGACCCGAAACUGUAAAACUACAAGAAGAAAACGUAGGGGGGAAAACUCCAUAAUGUUGGUUUGGGCUGUGAUUUCUUGGAUAUGACCUCAAAAACAAAAGCAAAAAUGCACAAAUGGGAUUUCAGCAAAUAAACAGGUUUUUCAAAGCCAAGGAAACAAUCAACAGAGGGAAGAGAUCACUUAGAUAUUGGAAGAAAAUAUUUGCAUAUUAUAUAUCAGAUAAAAGGCUAAUAUAGAAAAUACAAAAGAAAACUACUAGAAAACAAAAAAAGAGACAACCUUAUUAAAAAAACAGGCAAUGUCACAUCAGACUUGUUAGACAGGUUACUAUCAACCAGGUGGAAGACAACAAGUGUUGUCGAGAAUGUGGAAAACAGGGAACCCUUGUACAUUACAGAUGGUGUCUUAAAUUAAUACACACAUUUUGGAAAACAUUAUGGAGGUUCCUUAGAAAAACAAAAUAGAAUUACCAUAUGAUCCAGGAAUCUCUUUUUUGGAUAUAUAUAUGACGUAACUGAAAUCAAUAAGCCAAAGAGAUGCCUGCACUCCCACGUUCACUGCAGCAUUAUUCACAAUAGCCAAGAUACGGAAACAAGCAAAGUGCCCAUCAGUCACUGAAUGGAUUUUUAAAAUGUGGUAUAUAAACAGAAUUCAGCCAUUAAAAAGCAGAACAUUCUGUUAUUUAUUUUGACAUAGAUGAACCUAAAGGGCAUUAUACUGAGAGAAAUAACCAAAUAUAGACAGACAAAUACUAUACGGUCUCAUUUAUAUGAGGAAUCUAAAGCCAAACCUGUAGAAAUAGAGAGCAGAAUAGUGAUUACCAGACACUGAGGGCAGGGGUAGAUGGGGAAAGUGGAGACAUUCAUUAAAUGGCACAAAGUUUCAAGUCGACCAGAGGUAUACAUUUUGGUGAUUUAUUGCACAACAUGGUAACUAUAGAAACGAUGUAUUGUAUAUUUAAAAGUAGCUUAAAAAGGGUUUAAAAUGUUUUAAACUCAAACAAAUGAUAAGUAUUUAAGGUGCUAGAUAUGUUAAUUAGCCUGAUUUGAUUAUUCCACAAUGUACACAUAUAAUCAUAUUGUACCACAUAAAUGUACACAACUAUUGUUCUGUCAAUUAAAAUGAAAUAAAAUAAGAAAAAAUUGAUCUAUUGUAAGGAACGUUUCUGCCUGGAAACAAGGACAGUGACCAAUAAUGAUGCAAUUCAAUCCAGUUUUUGCAUUUCAUGAAUACAGGCUGAAUGCUGAUGUUUGCACUUAGGUCAG
rnacentral:lncRNA from 1 species